UACAGAGGGUGCAAGCGUUGUUCGGAAUUAUUGGGCGUAAAGCGCGUGUAGGCGGUGGUUCAAGUCGGGUGUGAAAGCCCUCAGCUUAACUGAGGAAGUGCGCCCGAAACUGAAUCGCUAGAGUGUCGGAGGGGAAGGCGGAAUUCCCGGUGUAGAGGUGAAAUUCGUAGAUAUCGGGAGGAACACCAGUGGCGAAGGCGGCCUUCUGGACGAACACUGACGCUGAGACGCGAAAGCGUGGGGAGCGAUCCGG
rnacentral:rRNA from 1 species